GAGGGUAUAGCUCCAUGGCAGAGCAUGUGCUUAGCAUGCAGGAGGUCCUGGGUUCAAUCCCCAGCACCUCCA
rnacentral:tRNA from 1 species